ACACGUGGGUAACCUGCCUUAAAGCUUGGGAUAACACUUGGAAACAGGUGCUAAUACCGCAUAACCAUCAAAACCACCUGGUUUUGAUGUUAAAGAUGGUUCUGCUAUCGCUUUAAGAUGGACCCGCGGCGUAUUAGCUAGUUGGUGAGGUAACGGCUUACCAAGGCAAUGAUACGUAGCCGAACUGAGAGGUUGAUCGGCCACAUUGGGACUGAGACACGGCCCAAACUCCUACGGGAGGCAGCAGUAGGGAAUCUUCCACAAUGGACGAAAGUCUGAUGGAGCAACGCCGCGUGAGUGAAGAAGGUUUUCGGAUCGUAAAACUCUGUUGUCAGAGAAGAACGUGUGUGAGAGUAACUGUUCACGCAGUGACGGUAUCUGACCAGAAAGUCACGGCUAACUACGUGCCAGCAGCCGCGGUAAUACGUAGGUGGCAAGCGUUGUCCGGAUUUAUUGGGCGUAAAGGGAACGCAGGCGGUCUUUUAAGUCUGAUGUGAAAGCCUUCGGCUUAACCGAAGUCGGGCAUUGGAAACUGGGAGACUUGAGUGCAGAAGAGGAGAGUGGAACUCCAUGUGUAGCGGUGAAAUGCGUAGAUAUAUGGAAGAACACCAGUGGCGAAAGCGGCUCUCUGGUCUGUAACUGACGCUGAGGUUCGAAAGCGUGGGUAGCAAACAGGAUUAGAUACCCUGGUAGUCCACGCCGUAAACGAUGAAUGCUAAGUGUUGGAGGGUUUCCGCCCUUCAGUGCCGCAGCUAACGCAUUAAGCAUUCCGCCUGGGGAGUACGAUCG
rnacentral:rRNA from 1 species